rnacentral:misc_RNA from 1 species
AUCAGAGGGAGACUUAUCCUCCUUGUGUACGUCACAAACCUAGCGACGACCCUCUUGCUCUGUGCCGCACGUUACCUCUCUCAGAUUCCUCCCAAGCAAUCUCGUUUUCAAAUUCUUCGUAUGGUUUCGUGAGUUGUCUUUGAUUCCUUUCCGAAUUCAUCGUCGAUCUCAAAGUUAUUCCUAGCUUCCACUGCUUAAUCUGUACCAAGAAAGAUGUCUUAGUUCUUUGCUCAAACUCUUAGAUCAAGAUAUGGUGAAAAAAGAAAUUAACAAAGAAAAAGAUGAGCUCAAGUAACUCUAAGGCCUUGAACUCAAUGAGACAAAGUUGAAGAAGAAUAAGAAGUAGUAUGAAGAAGAAAUUAGAGAAUACAGAGAGUCGACAGAGUAUGAACAAGUGAAGAAAAUCAGAGAACGAAGAUACAGAAGAUGAGUAAGAUGAAGAAGAGGUUGAGUUUGAGGAAGAUGUUAAUGUAGAGGACCAAGCGGACAAUAGAGGUGAUCCCUCUAGGGAAAGGAUAAUGAACAAGAAAGAUAAGUUUCUGCAUGAGUUGUAUAAUAAAGAUCCUAAAGAGAUCUCAUGGAACUGGAUCAACAAAAUGUUCAAGAUAUUUGUGGCUGCCCAUGGCAUGAAGGGGAACUACACGGUCUGAAAUGGUUGAUUUUCUGGCUGUGCCAUAUACUAGAGGUCCCUAACAUGGCAGCAAUUCUAAUGAUCCCAAACACAAGGUGAGUAGCAAGAAUUUUUUGUCGUCUGCUCGAGGUUAGCGAGAGGCAAGCAUUCACCUCUCCUCCUGAGAGGUUGUGUGACCAUGUCAUGACUGCAACUCGAGCGAAUGUUUUCAAAUCACUUCAUGUGUAGAGAAAAUAUUGAAGAAAAGAUGUUAUGGUUCGUUCUACUUAAUUGUUUUGUUCUUUGUAAGAUAUUGGAUCACAUUUAAGGAACACAUUUUGGUCUGGGAUCUGUUUCUCUAACUUUUCCUAAAUACUCAAUGGACCUUGUGAGAGAUUGUUCUUACUUAUG